GCAGCCGCGGUAAUACGUAGGUGGCAAGCGUUGUCCGGAUUUACUGGGCGUAAAGCGUAUGCAGGCGGAUGAGUAAGUAGGAAGUGAAAGGUUGGAGCUCAACUCUAACACGGCUCCCUAUACUGCUUGUCUUGAGUGCCGGAGAGGACAAGGGAACUUCACGUGUAGCGGUGAAAUGCGUUGAGAUGUGAAGGAACACCAAUGGCGAAAGCACUUGUCUGGACGGAAACUGACGCUGAGAUACGAAAGCCAAGGGAGCGAACAGGAUUAGAUACCCUGGUAGUCUUGGCCAUAAACGAUGUUCACUAGGUGUCGGGGGUUCCCCUCGGUGCCGCAGCUAACGCAUUAAGUGAACCGCCUGGGGACUACGGCCGCAAGGUUGAAACUCAAAGGAAUUGGCGGGGGCCCGCACAAGCGGUGGAGCAUGUGGCUUAAUUCGAUGCAACGCGAAGAACCUUACCAGGGCUUGACAUGGAUCUGCAAGCUCGUGAAAGCGAGUCGC
rnacentral:rRNA from 1 species